rnacentral:rRNA from 1 species
UGCGUAGGCGGUUAUUUAAGUAGGAUGUGAAAUCUCCCGGCUCAACCGGGAAACUGCGUUCUAAACUGGAUAACUUGAGUGAGAUAGAGGUGUGCGGAACUUCCGGUGGAGCGGUGAAAUGUGUUGAUAUCGGAGGGAACACCGUUGGCGAAAGCGGCACACUGGGUCUUAACUGACGCUGAGGCACGAAAGCCAGGGGAGCAAACG